ACCUGAUGAUGUGGGCAUUUACGUAGUAGGUCCCUAAAGCGUUUCCAAGUUUUGAAAAAGAGUUCCCCAUCCAUCUGUGAGAAGCUUGUGAUGGCUCUCCAAAGUU